rnacentral:rRNA from 1 species
UGGCUCAGGACGAACGCUGGCGGCGUGCUUAACACAUGCAAGUCGAACGAGGGAAUUGAAAGCUUGCUUUGAAACCCGAGUGGCAAACGGGUGAGUAACGCGUAGGCAACCUGCCGUUGAGAUGGGGACAACAUCCCGAAAGGGGUGCUAAUACCGAAUGUUGUGAGAGCUUCGCAUGGAGCUUUCACUAAAGAUGACCUCUCCUUGGAAGUUAUCGCUGAAAGAUGGGCUCACGUCUGAUUAGUUAGUUGGUGAGGUAACGGCUCACCAAGACUGCGAUCAGUAGCCGGACUGAGAGGUUGAACGGCCACAUUGGGACUGAGAUACGGCCCAGACUCCUACGGGAGGCAGCAGUGGGGAAUAUUGGGCAAUGGGCGAAAGCCUGACCCAGCAACGCCGCGUGAAGGAAGAAGGUCUUCGGAUUGUAAAGCUCUGUCUUUAGGGACGAUAAUGACGGUACCUAAGGAGGAAGCCACGGCUAACUACGUG